rnacentral:rRNA from 1 species
UACGAAGGGUGCAAGCGUUACUCGGAAUUACUGGGCGUAAAGCGUGCGUAGGUGGUUUGUUAAGUCUGUUGUGAAAGCCCCGGGCUCAACCUGGGAAUGGCAAUGGAUACUGGCAAGCUAGAGUGCGGUAGAGGGUAGUGGAAUUCCCGGUGUAGCGGUGAAAUGCGCAGAGAUCGGGAGGAACACCAGUGGCGAAGGCGGCUACCUGGACCAGCACUGACACUGAGGCACGAAAGCGUGGGGAGCAAACAGG